rnacentral:rRNA from 1 species
AGGCAGCAGUGGGGAAUAUUGCGCAAUGGGCGGAAGCCUGACGCAGCGACGCCGCGUGAGGGAUGACGGCCUUCGGGUUGUAAACCUCUUUCAGCUCUGACGAAGCGAGAGUGACGGUAGGAGCAGAAGAAGCACCGGCCAACUACGUGCCAGCAGCCGCGGUAAUACGUAGGGUGCAAGCGUUGUCCGGAAUUAUUGGGCGUAAAGAGCUCGUAGGCGGUCCGUCGCGUCGAAUGUGAAAACCCGGGGCUCAACCCCGGGCCUGCAUUCGAUACGGGCAGACUAGAGUUCGGUAGGGGAGUCUGGAAUUCCUGGUGUAGCGGUGAAAUGCGCAGAUAUCAGGAGGAACACCGGUGGCGAAGGCGGGACUCUGGGCCGAUACUGACGCUGAGGAGCGAAAGCGUGGGGAGCAAACAGGAUUAGAUACCCUGGUAG